AUACAUAUUAAGACCUAUUUCUUGUAUUCUGUUUAUAAUUUGAAUUAAUCAGAUAAAACAUAAAGCAUAAAAUUGCUAUGUUGUAUCAUUCAAGCCACUUCGCAAAUUCCCUGAUGAACUUCACUUCCAAAUAUACUUCUAUUAUUCUCUCACUUGAAGGAAGGAAGGAAGGAAGGAAGGAAGGAACGAAGGAAGGAAGGAAGGAAGGAAGGAACGAAGGAAGGAAGGAAGGAAGAGAAAGAAAGGAAGAGAAAGAAAGGAAGAGAAAGAAAGGAAGAGAAAGAAAGGAAGAAAGUGAGGAUCAGCUGCUACAGUGAAAAUACUAGAAAUUCCUCCAUUCAUUGAGAUUACACUUCAUCAGACUCCAAGGAUAUUGAAGAAACCUGACACCACAACAAAAGUCUCUCCC
rnacentral:lncRNA from 1 species